GACGAACGCUGGCGGCGUGCUUAACACAUGCCAGUCGAACGGAAAGGCCUUUUCGGUGGUGCUCGAGUGGCGGACGGGUGAGUGACACGCGGGUGAUCUGCCCUGCACUCUGGGAUAGGCCUGGGCAACUGGGUCUAAUACCGGCUAGGAACGAGCUUUUGUGUGUGUGGGGGAAAGUUUUUGCGGUGUAGGUUGAGCCCGCGGUCUAUCAGCUUGUUGGUGGGGUAAUGGCCUACCAAGGCGGCGACGGGUAGCCGGACUGAGAGGUUGGUCGGCCACAUUGGGGCUGAGAUACGGCCCAGACUCCUACGGGAGGCAGCAGUGGGGAAUAUUGCACAAUGGGCGGAAGCCUGAUGCAGCGACGCCGCGUGGGGGAUGACGGCCUUCGGGUUGUAAACUGCUUUCGCCAGGGACGAAGCGUUUUGUGACGGAACCUGGAGAAGAAGCACCGGCUAACUACGG
rnacentral:rRNA from 1 species